UACCAGGCACCCCAGACGUGGUCGGGACGGAUUAUUGGGCCUAAAGCAUCCGUAGCCGGCCUUACAAGUCCUCCGUUAAAUCCAGCUGCUUAACAGAUGGGCUACGGAGGAUACUAUAAGACUAGGAGGCAGGAGAGGCAAGCGGUACUCAGUGGGUAGGGGUAAAAUCCGUUGAUCCAUUGAAGACCACCAGUGGCGAAGGCGGCUUGCCAGAAUGCGCUCGACGGUGAGGGAUGAAAGCUGGGGGAGCAAACCGG
rnacentral:rRNA from 1 species